UACGUAGGGGGCAAGCGUUGUCCGGAUUCAUUGGGCGUAAAGAGCGUGUAGGCGGCCAGGUAGGUCGGUUGUGAAAACUGGAGGCUCAACCUUCAGAGGUCGACCGAAACCAUCUGGCUAGAGUCCGGGAGAGGAGAGUGGAAUUCCUGGUGUAGCGGUGAAAUGCGCAGAUAUCAGGAGGAACACCGGUGGCGAAGGCGGUUCUCUGGGCAUGUCCUGACGCUGAGGAGCGAAAGUGUGGGGAGCGAACAGG
rnacentral:rRNA from 1 species